rnacentral:rRNA from 1 species
GAGUUUGAUCGUGGCUCAGCCUGAACGCUGGCGGCGUGGUUAAGACAUGCAAGUCGCACGGUGUAGCAAUACACAGUGGCGCAAGGGUGAGUAAUGUAUCGCUAAUGUACCCCGGACUCUGGGAUAGCUGCCCGAAAGGGCAGGUAAUACCAGAUAAUAUAACCUGGUCGCAUGAUUGGGUUCUCAAAGGUCCGCCGGUCUGGGAGCAGGCGAUAUCGUAUCAGCUAGUUGGUGAGGUAACGGCUCACCAAGGCGACGACGCGUAGCCGGACUGAGAGGUCGGUCGGCCACAUCGGGACUGAGACACUGCCCAGACUCCUACGGGGGGCUGCAGUAACGAAUCUUCCCCAAUGCACGAAAGUGUGAGGGAGCGACGCCGCGUGGAGGAUGAAGUCCUUC